AUGUGUCCCCCAUCCAGGCCAUAUUCCCACCAAUUUCAAGGAGAAACUUCUCUACGUGAGGGUUUCUCAGACAGCAGCUCACCCGGUCAGGUCCGGAGGAGAAAGAGAGCAGGUGAGACCUGGGGCAGGAAGGGUGCAAGCGGGUUUGGACCCAGACUUCGCAGGGAAGUGAGUCUGGGGGCACCUGUCCUCAGGGUGGCAGCGGAGCCAGCCUCCUGCUUCUCUAAUGGCUCAUCAUCCACUUGGGAAAUGCGGGAAUUUGAACCAGAUGAGGAGUCAGUGAGCUCUGUGAGCUACAGCACCCAAACCCCAGGAGCGUCAGGAACCAGCAACAAGAAGAAGAUCCGUGGAGCAUCUUCUGAGAAGCAGGCUGAGCGGACCAGGGGCAGGUACUGUUACCUUUCCAAGGUGAAGAACAUCAAUGACCAUCUGUUUCUGCUGAAGUGGUCAAUUGGUCAUGAACCUCCUGUUCCAGAUCGUUACUGUGUCCUUCAUGAUGGCAGCUGAGCUUCCAGCAGCCAAGGAAGAGAAAGUUAACAAUCGCUGCUUUCUUUAAAGGUUGAAAAAAAAGCUUCCCUCCCAUGGUGUGAACAGAGCCAUGGUACUUUAUCUAUUUAGGCUGGAUGAAGGGAUGAAGAGUCCCCUGACACAGAAAAGAGAAGGUGUUAGAUAAUACCAUUUUGCUCCAAUUUAUGAAAAUGAGGGAUCUAGUGGCACAGAUGCUAAAUUCUACCCAGUAAGAGCUGGCGUGAAAUUUUUUCCUGCAAAGACCAUAAAGAAACAGAGUAUUUCCUAAAUUGAAGAAGGGUUAUCUACUGGGGCACGUUUUUAAUACUAAGUCUGCUUUGUUUGGAAAGCAGAUUCAUUUCAGAAUGUUUACAUAUUUUCACUUAUUUAAUGCUACUUCUAAUAUUUGCUUCACAAGUCCCAGGAUGGUAGCACCCAUCCAGAAAUCACUUCUGUAUAAACUUGGCUCUUCGUUUAUACCUUUAUUUCUUAAAACUUCUCCUCCUCCUCCUCCUCCUCCUCCUUCUUCUUCUUAUUUGCUGAAAGGAAACCGAGCAUCUUGAAAGAUAGGCUGAUUCCAGGCUUGUGGCAGGAAAUUAAGAGGAGUGUGGGACAUCUUGCUGUGCUGGAAAACAAGGAAGCUAUUAAGAACUAACGCCAGGUCAGAAAGACACAGGAACGACCCAGGGCAAGAUACUGGCAAAGGAAUGAGAAAAAAAGAAGAAAGAGAGAGACGGAGCAACUAUGGCAAAAUCUCGACAACUGUUUAAUCUGGGUGACACAUGCAUGGGGGUUUGCUUUAUUAUUUCUUGUUUUUGUUUGAAUUUUUUCAUUUUUAAACUAAACACAUAAUUUAAACCUUCUUUACUGCAAAGCAACCCCUAUGCAUUCUCUAUAGAGUCAGACAACACAAAUGAAUAAAAUAAAAAGCACUGAUAAUUCUAUCA
rnacentral:lncRNA from 1 species